GAUGAACGCUGGCGGCGUGCCUAAUACAUGCAAGUCGAGCGAACAGAUGAGGAGCUUGCUCCUCCGACGUUAGCGGCGGACGGGUGAGUAACACGUGGAUAACCUACCUAUAAGACUGGGAUAACUUCGGGAAACCGGAGCUAAUACCGGAUAAUAUAUUGAACCGCAUGGUUCAAUAGUGAAAGACGGUUUUGCUGUCACUUAUAGAUGGAUCCGCGCCGCAUUAGCUAGUUGGUAAGGUAACGGCUUACCAAGGCAACGAUGCGUAGCCGACCUGAGAGGGUGAUCGGCCACACUGGAACUGAGACACGGUCCAGACUCCUACGGGAGGCGGCAGUAGGGAAUCUUCCGCAAUGGGCGAAAGCCUGACGGAGCAACGCCGCGUGAGUGAUGAAGGUCUUCGGAUCGUAAAACUCUGUUAUUAGGGAAGAACAAAUGUGUAAGUAACUAUGCACGUCCUGACGGUACCUAAUCAGAAAGCCACGGCUAACUACGUG
rnacentral:rRNA from 1 species